ensembl:snRNA U1 U1 spliceosomal RNA
AUACUUAUUUGGCAGGGGAAAUACCAUGAUCAUGAAGAUGGUUUUCCCAGGAUGAGACUUAUUCAUUGUACUCUAGAUGUGCUCAUCCCUGUGAUUUCCCCAAAUGUGGGAAACUACAUAAUUUGUGGUAGUGGAAAAAUGUGUUCACUGUCUCCCC